rnacentral:rRNA from 1 species
GACGAACGCUGGCGGCGUGCUUAACACAUGCAAGUCGAACGGAAAGGCCCCUUUGGGGGUACUCGAGUGGCGAACGGGUGAGUAACACGUGAGUAACCUGCCCUUGACUUCGGGAUAACUUCAGGAAACUGGGGCUAAUACCGGAUAGGAAUCCUUGCUGCAUGGUGGGGGUUGGAAAGCUUCGGCGGUUUUGGAUGGACUCGCGGCUUAUCAGCUUGUUGGUGGGGUAGUGGCUUACCAAGGCUUUGACGGGUAGCCGGCCUGAGAGGGCGACCGGCCACAUUGGGACUGAGAUACGGCCCAGACUCCUACGGGAGGCAGCAGUGGGGAAUAUUGCACAAUGGGCGGAAGCCUGAUGCAGCAACGCCGCGGGCGGGACGACGGCCUUCGGGUUGUAAACCGCUUUCAGCAGGGGCGAAGCUUGUGGUGACGGUACCUGCAGAAGAAGCACCGGCUAACUACGUG